GUGCCAGCAGCCGCGGUAAUACGUAGGGUGCGAGCGUUGUCCGGAAUUAUUGGGCGUAAAGAGCUCGUAGGCGGCCUGUCGCGUCGGAUGUGAAAGCCCGGGGCUUAACCCCGGGUCUGCAUUCGAUACGGGCAGGCUAGAGUGUGGUAGGGGAGAUCGGAAUUCCUGGUGUAGCGGUGAAAUGCGCAGAUAUCAGGAGGAACACCGGUGGCGAAGGCGGAUCUCUGGGCCAUUACUGACGCUGAGGAGCGAAAGCGUGGGGAGCGAACAGGAUUAGAUACCCUGGUAGUCC
rnacentral:rRNA from 1 species